rnacentral:lncRNA from 10 species
CUUGCUGCUGCUCACUCUUUGGGUCUGUGCCAUCUUUAGGAGCUGUAACACUCACUGCAAAGGUCCGCAGCUCCAUUCUUGAAGUCAGUGAGACCAUGAACCCACUGGAAGGAACCAACUCCAGACACACUACAACAUGCAUGAACCUUGGGGGCAUUAUGUAAAUGGCAAAUUUACCUUUUCACAAAAGGACUGUUUAAAAACUUGAAGAAAAAUAGGAGUGGGCCCUUCACCAUACAAGAUCAGAGAAACUCAGAGUCUGGGAUUUCUGCAUUUUUGUUUUGAGUGCUAAAGAAGAGAUUAAAGGAACAUAUUAUGUGGUAAUAAGACUAGAGCCUAGAAACCAUAUGGCUUGGGCACUUUUACUAAGUGGAAUGUGAAUAGUAAAUUUUGAUCUGAUAUAUGUCAUGUAAAAGUUACAAAGCAUUCUCCGUCAAAAAGUCAGAAAAUUAAAUUAAAAACAUCUAUCUUAGCCCCUUUCCAGUAGGUAAUAUAGCCUCAGUAGUGAAAUGUAAGUCCAUGAACAGAUUUCAAAUUAAAUUCCUCAUCAUAUGAAAAUAAAAAUCAUAUAAAUAAUACAAUUUAUUAUAUGUUUUGUCAUCAAAAAU